GUUCAGAGUGAAGAACAAACCUUACCUAUUGGAGGUGAUGGUUGGGAAAAGUCAAAAAUGAAGAAGAAGCGUUCCUGUAUCAAACUAGAUGUUUCUCCCAGUACAACAUUGACUAAACCUGUUAACACCUUCCAAGAAACUAAACAGGGAAUGCAACAAAGACUUGCUACCGAUUCGCGAUUCUUUCAGGUCAGUAGUUUGUAAUGGAACUAUUGGAGUUGGAAAAUCAGAUGGUAUCUCUCAACAAACUGGGUUGGGCAUACGAGCUUCUACCCCUAGAAACAACCAAGAUAAUAAUUCCCUUGUCAAUGAUAGGAGGGGUCGUCCUGUUAGUUCAGACAAGGAAAGGGUGAACUUCAGAGUUGUAAACAAGUCUUUUCUGACUUGGAGCGUUCAGUGUGUAGAAUGGUCCAUCGACAGGUUGCCACAAUUGCUUGGUUGGAAGCUGAUUCUGUUUGUGGC